rnacentral:rRNA from 1 species
CAUGUCUAAGUAUAAGCAAUUAUACAGCGAAACUGCGAAUGGCUCAUUAUAUAAGUUAUCGUUUAUUUGAUAGUACCUUACUACUUGGAUAACCGUGGUAAUUCUAGAGCUAAUACAUGCUAAAAAUCCCGACUUCGGAAGGGAUGUAUUUAUUAGAUUAAAAACCAAUGCCCUCUGGGCUCCUUGGUGAUUCAUAAUAACUUUUCGAAUCGCAUGGCCUUGCGCCGGCGAUGGUUCAUUCAAAUUUCUUCCCUAUCAACUUUCGAUGUUUGGGUAUUGGCCAAACAUGGUCGCAACGGGUAACGGAGGGUUAGGGCUCGACCCCGGAGAAGGAGCCUGAGAAACGGCUACUACAUCCAAGGAAGGCAGCAGGCGCGCAAAUUACCCAAUCCCGAUUCGGGGAGGUAGUGACAAUAAAUACUGAUACAGGGCUCUUUUGGGUCUUGUAAUUGGAAUGAGUACAAUUUAAAUCCCUUAACGAGGAACAAUUGGAAGGCAAGUCUGGUGCCAGCAGCCGCGGUAAUUCCAGCUCCAAUAGCGUAUAUUAAAGUUGUUGUGGUUAAAAAGCUCGUAGUUGAACCUUGGGCCUGGCUGGCCGGUCCGCCUCACCGCGUGUACUGGUCCGGCCGGGCCUUUCCCUCUGUGGAACCUCAUGCCCUUCACUGGGUGUGGCGGGGAAACAGGACUUUUACUUUGAAAAAAUUAGAGUGCUCCAGGCAGGCCUAUGCUCGAAUACAUUAGCAUGGAAUAAUGAAAUAGGACGUGUGGUUCUAUUUUGUUGGUUUCUAGGACCGCCGUAAUGAUUAAUAGGGACAGUCGGGGGCAUCAGUAUUCAAUUGUCAGAGGUGAAAUUCUUGGAUUUAUUGAAGACUAACUACUGCGAAAGCAUUUGCCAAGGAUGUUUUCAUUAAUCAGGAACGAAAGUUAGGGGAUCGAAGACGAUCAGAUACCGUCGUAGUCUUAACCAUAAACUAUGCCGACUAGGGAUCGGACGAUGUUAUUUUUUGACGCGUUCGGCACCUUACGAGAAAUCAAAGUGCUUGGGCUCCAGGGGGAG